AUGCCUCGUCAUCUAAUUAGUGACGCGCAUGAAUGGAUUAACGAGAUUCCUACUGUCCCUAUCUACUAUCUAGCGAAACCACAGCCAAGGGAACGGGCUUGGAAUAAUUAGCGGGGAAAGAAGACCCUGUUGAGCUUGACUCUAGUCUGGCAGUGUAAGGAGACAUAAGAGGUGUAGCAUAAGUGGGAGAUAUUAUAGUUUCGGCUAUUUUAUCAAAAAUGAAAUACCACUACUCUUAUUGUUUCCUUACUUACUUGAUAAAAUGGAACGUGUAUUAUUUACUUAGCCAUUACACGGAUAUAUUUAUAUAUUUUAUGGUAUUUUGUUUUAAUGCGAGCUUCUUGCUUAAAGUACCAAGGGUUUGUUAUAUACACCAAACAAGUUAUGAUGAAAUUUGAAUACCACUUUCAAUAAUGGUCUGUUAAAUAUUAUUUGAAUUUGGUAUAACUCUUAUACUCAGGUAUGAUCCAAUUCAAGGACAUUGCCAGGUGGGGAGUUUGACUGGGGCGGUACAUCUCUCAAAUAAUAACGGAGGUGUCCCAAGGCCAGCUCAGUGCGGACAGAAACCACACAUAGAGCAAAAGGGCAAAUGCUGACUUGAUCUCGGUGUUCAGUACAUACAGAGACAGCAAAAGCUCGGCCUAUCGAUCCUUUUGGUUUAAAGAGUUUUUAACAAGAGGUGUCAGAAAAGUUACCACAGGGAUAACUGGCU
rnacentral:rRNA from 1 species